rnacentral:rRNA from 1 species
AUGUCUUCGCAAGAGUCAGUUGGGGAGAGCCGGGUGUCUCAUCUAGCAUCGAGAUCAAUGACAAACAACAAUGUUGACCUCUUUGGGCCAACAACGGAGGAAGAGAUGGAGGCCGAAUUGAAGAGGAUAGAUGCCAUGGAAGAGGAUCAAGAAGUCACUUCUCGUUUCCGAGAUGGAUUCACAAUGGGAGAACUGCAGAGCUCGGCUAUUCCAAACUCGAUUAUCCCUUCCAAUGUUAGAUUUCUUUCUUAUGAGAAUAUGAAAAAGAGUGGCACUGGUUCUCCCAUAGCUACGCAGCACCCUUGGGUGCAGGGAGCUUUGUCUCUUAUAGGAAAACUCUGA